rnacentral:tRNA from 1 species
AGUGGGAUGGCUGAGAUUAAUAAGUAGGCGAUAGGCUGUAAAUCUAUUUAGGAGUAGUUACGUUGCUCUUCCACUA